rnacentral:rRNA from 1 species
GGGUUUUUUUUUACAUUCAUACGGAGGAAAGAACCAACCAGGGGAUUGCCCUAGUAACGGCGAGUGAAGCGGCAACAGCUCAAAAUUUGAAAUCUGGCCUUCUGGUCCGAAUUGUAAUUUGUAGAGGAUGAUUUUGGUGCGGUACCUUCCGAGUUUCCUUGGAACAGGACGCCUUAGAAGGGUGAGAGCCCCGUACGGUUGGAUGCCUAGCCUUUGUAAAUCUCCUUCGACGAGUCGAGUAGUUUGGGAAUGCUGCUCUAAAUGGGAGGUAAAUUUCUUCUAAAGCUAAAUAUUGGCCAGAGACCGAUAGCGCACAAGUAGAGUGAUCGAAAGAUGAAAAGCACUUUGAAAAGAGGGUUAAAUAGCACGUGAAAUUGUUGAAAGGGAAGGAUUUAUGACCAGACUUUUUCUAGGCGGAUCAUCCGGUGUUCUCACCGGUGCACUUUGUCUAGUUUAGGCCAGCAUCGAUUUUCGGCAGCGGAUAAAAGCUUCAGGAAUGUGGCUCCUCCGGGAGUGUUAUAGCCUGUUGUAUAAUACGCCGCUGGGGAUCGAGGUACGCGCUUCUGCAAGGAUGCUGGCGUAAUGGUUAUCAAUCACCCGUCUUGAAACACGGACCAAGGAGUCGAACAUUUAUGCGAGUGUUUGGGUGUUAAACCCUCACGCGUAAUGAAAGUGAACGGAGGUGAGAGCCCUUACGGGUGCAUCAUCGACCGAUCCUGAUGUUUUCGGAUGGAUUUGAGUAAGAGCAUAACUGUUCGGACCCGAAAGAUGGUGAACUAUGCGUGGAUAGGGUGAAGCCAGAGGAAACUCUGGUGGAGGCUCGCAGCGGUUCUGACGUGCAAAUCGAUCGUCAAAUCUGCGCAUGGGGGCGAAAGACUAAUCGACCAUCUUAUCGGGC